AUGGUUAUCAUAAGAAACCAGACCCAGCUGCUGCCCCAGUGCAAUGACUCCACUUCAGAAUCAGCAGGGUCUGCAGCCUCAGAAGAGAGCGCCCCUUACUACUCAGGCAGCAGACAGCUCCGCCUCGUGGACGGGGGCGGUCCCUGCGCCGGGAGAGUGGAGAUCCGUGACCAGGGCUCCUGGGGCACCAUCUGUGAUUACAGGUGGGACCUGAAAGAUGCCCGUGUGGUGUGCAGACAGCUGGGCUGUGGAAAAGCCCUCCAAGCCACUGUCUCUUCUUCCUUUGGGGCUGGAUCAGGGCCCAUUUGGCUGGACAACCUGUGGUGCACAGGAAAGGAGUCCCACGUGUGGAGGUGCUCUUCCCGGGGCUGGGGGAAGCACUACUGCGAUCAUAGCCAGGAUGCAGGAGUCAUCUGCUCAGGAUUUGUGCGUCUGGCUGGAGGGGAUGGACCCUGCUCAGGGCGAGUAGAAGUGCAUUCUGGAGAAGCCUGGACCCCAGUGUCUGAUGGAAACUUCACACUCCCCACUGCCCAGGUCAUCUGUGCAGAACUGGGGUGUGGCAAGGCUGUGUCUGUCCUGGGACAGGUGCCCUUCAGAGAGUCCGAUGGCCAGGUCUGGGCUGAAGAGUUCAGAUGUGAAGGGGAGGAGCCUAAGCUCUGGUGGUGCCCCAGAGUGCCCUGUCCAGGGGGCACUUGUCACCACAGUGGAGCUGUUCAGGUUGCCUGUUCAGUGUACACAGACAUCCGGCUUAUGAAAAAUGGCACCUCUAGUUGUGAGGGGCAGGUGGAGAUGAACAUUUCUGGACGAUGGAGAGCAUUCUGUGCCUCCCACUGGAGUCUGGCCAAUGCCAAUGUUGUCUGUCGUCAGCUCGGCUGUGGAGUUGCCAUCUCCACCCCAAAUGGGGCAGAAGGAAGUGAUCAACUCUGGAAAGCCCGAUUUCACUGCUCAGGGACUGAGUCCUUCCUGUGGAAAUGCCCUGUGACUGCCCUGGGUGUUCCUGACUGUUCCCAUGGCAAUACGGCCUCUGUGAUCUGCUCAGGAAAUCAGACCCAGGUGCUGUCCCAGUGCAACGAUUCCGUGUCUGAACCAGCAGGGUUUGCAACCUCAGAGGAGAGCGCCCCCUACUGCUCAGAGUUCCUGGCCCUCAGGAUGGUGAGCGAGGACCAGCAGUGUGCUGGGUGGCUGGAAGUUUUUUACAACGGGACCUGGGGGAGUGUCUGCCGCAGCCCCAUGGACGAUGUCACCGUGUCCAUCAUCUGCAGUCAGCUUGGCUGUGGGGACAGUGGAACCCUCAGCUCUUCUGUUGCUCUUAGGGAAGGUUCUAGACCCCGGUGGGUAGAUUUAAUCCAAUGUCGGAAAACAGAUACCUCUCUCUGGCAGUGUCCUUCUGACCCUUGGAAAUACAGUUCAUGCUCUUCAAAGGAGGAAGCCUACAUCUCAUGUGCAGGAAGAAGACCCAAGAGCUGUCCAACUGCUGCCCCCUGCACAGACAGGGAGAAGCUCCGGCUCAGGGGAGGAGACAGCGAGUGCUCAGGGCGGGUGGAGGUCUGGCACAGCGGCUCCUGGGGCACCGUGUGCGAUGACUCCUGGAGCCUGGCAGAGGCCGAGGUGGUGUGCCAGCAGCUGGGCUGUGGCCAGGCCCUGGAAGCUCUGCGAGCGGCAACAUUCGGCCCUGGAAAUGGGAGCAUCUGGCUGGACGAGGUGCGGUGCGGGGGCCGGGAGUCCUCCCUGUGGGACUGUGCUGCGGAGCCCUGGGGGCAGAGCAACUGCAAGCACGAGGAGGAUGCUGGUGUGAGGUGCUCUGGUGUAAGGACAUUGCCCACGACUACAGCAGGGACAAGAACAACCUCAAAUCCUCUCCCUGGUGUCUUCUCCCUGCCUGGGGUCCUCUGCCUCAUCCUGGGGGCACUUCUCUUCCUGGUCCUUGUCAUCCUGGUGACUCAGCUGCUCAGAUGGAGAGCAGAGCGCAGAGACUUAUCUAGCCACGAAGAUGCUCUUGCUGAAGCCGUGUAUGAGGAGCUCGAUGACUUUGUGACUCGGAAAGAGGGUCUUCUUGGUAGUCCAGGCUUCCUGUCAGAUGACUCAGUGAUUAAACUGCCGUAUUACACCAGGGACGGUGAGGAGUACAGUGACUACAGAUCUGCACCAGGGGAACCCCCAGAUCAGAGGACUGAUGUCCCUGCUGAAAAUUACGAUGAUGCUGAAGAGGUAUUAGUGCCUGGGGCUCCUCCUGCCUCUCAGAGGAGUGAGGAAAAAGUGUUCCCAGAGGAGAAUGGGGCGAGAUCCCCCCAGAAAGGCUCUUCUCUGAACUUCUCCAGAGAGGUGGCUGAUCUUGGGGAAGGAGAAGAGAGCCCCUGGCUGCUCCAGGGGAAGAAAGGGGACCCUGGGUAUGAUGACGUUGAGCUAAGUGCCUUGGGAACACCUCUAGUAACUUUCCCAUGAUCUUGUAUUAAAUAUGAGAUGAAGACUCAGAUAUUCUAAUUGCUUGUAUUUCAGUAGAGUAGUGCUGACCUGUAACUGUUUUAUA